CUCUGACCUGUGCGCGGGUGCUGGCAGCCUUGCCGCUCGCUGUGCCAGUGCCCCGCAGGCUCUUUGGCAGUCCAGCAUAGUGGACUACUACGAGGUGCUGGGAGUACCCCGGUAGGCCUCGUCCGAGGGUAUCAAGAAGGCGUACCGCAAGCUGGCGCUCAAGUGGCACCCCGACAAAAACCCCGAGGACAGGGAGGAAGCGGUGAGAAGAUUCAAGCAGGUGGCUGAGGCCUACGAGGUGUUGUCGGACGCGUAGAAACGCGAUAUCUAUGACCGCUAUGGCGAGGCGAGGGCGGAGGGCGGCUGCGCAGGCGGCAGGCCCUUCAAGGACCCCUUCGAGAUUUCGUUCCUUUGGCUCCCUGGGAAGUGGGGGCCUUUCUUCCUUCUGCAUGUCCUACGGUAGUGAUGGGACAGGCAGCUUCAAGUCCAUGUCGACUUCCACUGAAAUAGUUGAUGGUAAAAAAAUCACCACCAAGAGAAUCAUUGAGAAUGGCCAAGAAAGGGUGGAAGUGGAGGAAGAUGGAGAGUUGAGUUAAAGUCCUUCAUAAUAAACGGCAUAGAGCAGUUGCUCCCCAUUGACACCAAGUAAUUCCAGUCCACAUUUGCCUUUAAGCACAUCUGGAGGAAUAGCGGACUUUUUUUAGGAUUGAAAGUGAACUUUACUUUCAGAACAGCUGUACCCAAGAAUUUAUAAACACUUUAUGCCAAUGCCUGUCUUUAUUGUUGGGACUGCACGGAUAGGACCUCUGUUUGUCUUUCGAUCAUUGUAAAUAUCUGUAUGCAAUUUGCUAUUUAUUAAACUUAAGCCUGAGGCA
rnacentral:lncRNA from 1 species